GAAGGUCCGGGCGUUAUCCGGAUUUAUUGGGUUUAAAGGGAGCGUAGGCCGCAUGUUAAGCGUGCCGUGAAAUGCCGUGGCUCAACCAUGGCACUGCGGCGCGAACUGGCUUGCUUGAGUGCGCGGAACGUAUGCGGAAUUCGUGGUGUAGCGGUGAAAUGCUUAGAUAUCACGAAGAACUCCGAUUGCGAAGGCAGCAUACGGCAGCGCUACUGACGCUGAAGCUCGAAGGCGCGGGUAUCGAAC
rnacentral:rRNA from 1 species